CCUACGGGGGGCUGCAGUGAGGAAUAUUGGUCAAUGGACGGAAGUCUGAACCAGCCAUGCCGCGUGCAGGAAGACGGCUCUAUGAGUUGUACACUGCUUUUGUACAAGGGUAAACCUGAAUACGUGUAUUCAUCUGAAAGUACUGUACGAAUAAGGAUCGGCUAACUCCGUGCCAGCAGCCGCGGUAAUACGGAGGAUCCAAGCGUUAUCCGGAUUUAUUGGGUUUAAAGGGUGCGUAGGGGGAUCGUUAAGUCAGUGGUAAAAUUGCGGGGCUAAACCCCUUCCCGCCAUUGAAACUGGCGUUCUUGAGUGGAAGAGAGGUAUGCGGAAUGAGUGGUGUAGCGGUGAAAUGCAUAGAUAUCACGCAGAACACCGAUUGCGAAGGCAGCAUGCCGGCUUCCGACUGACGCUGAAGCACGAAAGCGUGGGGAGCGAACAGGAUUAGAUACCCUUGUAGUC
rnacentral:rRNA from 1 species